AUUGAACGCUGGCGGCAGGCCUAACACAUGCAAGUCGAGCGGAUGAAGGGAGCUGGCUCCUGGAUUCAGCGGCGGACGGGUGAGUAAUGCCUAGGAAUCUGCCUGGUAGUGGGGGAUAACGUCCGGAAACGGGCGCUAAUACCGCAUACGUCCUGAGGGAGAAAGUGGGGGAUCUUCGGACCUCACGCUAUCAGAUGAGCCUAGGUCGGAUUGGCUAGUUGGUGGGGUAAAGGCCUACCAAGGCGACGAUCCGUAACUGGUCUGAGAGGAUGAUCAGUCACACUGGAACUGAGACACGGUCCAGACUCCUACGGGAGGCAGCAGUGGGGAAUAUUGGACAAUGGGCGAAAGCCUGAUCCAGCCAUGCCGCGUGUGUGAAGAAGGUCUUCGGAUUGUAAAGCACUUUAAGUUGGGAGGAAGGGCAGUAAGUUAAUACCUUGCUGUUUUGACGUUACCAACAGAAUAAGCACCGGCUAACUUCGUG
rnacentral:rRNA from 1 species